CCUUCACUGCACCGCCUUCUCCGUGAGGGCAAGAAAGCUGGACACAAGGAGCGGGGGGGGGGGACGAAAAGGAGUACAGGAGUUCGCUCCCAAUCCAGGGCAAAACCCCUCCUGAGACGAACAAUUGGGGAGGCGCUGCUCGGGGGGGGGGAGCUGCACGAGUCAGCCGAUUACACAACCCCGCGUCCCUCCAUGUUGGGGAAACCCGGACUGCCCGGUUUAGCUUUGUGCUGACCAUUGGGAUCCUGGAGCUGAACAAGCCCCAAGAUCCGUCCAUGCAAGGCUCCCUCCACAGUGAGGCUGGGUUCCUCAGGCCCUGAGCGAAGCAUGCCAAGCACUCUCACUACUUUGAUUGAAUAAGGGGCUUUCUCUGGACUGGCUUCCUUGUGCCCUCAGGGUCUCUCCAUCAUAAAAUCCUAUUUUAAUGGCUUCACAAUAAUUCAGUUCUGGAUGAAAUUUGACUUGUUCGGUCUUGGUGUGGGAAGCCACAGUAGUUUGUUUUUGCACAUGUUCCCCCUACUUCCACCACUAAGUUCAUAUUUUAUUCUAAGAAAGUAUUUAAAAAGUCACAGGCUUCAAGUGUACUUUUCUACACUUGUGAAAUUAAAUUAGAUAUGGUAUUAAAAAAAAUUCCCAGAUCAAUUCAUAAAUAUGGUUUCUUCACUUAAAAUGUUAUACUAGGGAAAAUACGGAAUUUUGUGCACAAAAGAACAUCCCAAACUUUCAGGUUUUUUCCCCCAAGAGCUCAGACCAGAGCACAUGUAUAAAAUAGUGGUGGAGCUGAAAGAGCAUUCUGGGUAUUGAUGUGCAAAUGAGAACACCAAGCUUCCAACUUCCAAAACGGAGUUAUUGUAAUAACACUUAAGGCCAUAUAGUGCCCUCAAUCUGUGUGCUGUAUUUCUGUUGAUGUCAGUGGGAGUUGCUUGUCUACAUUGAAGGCAGAGUAUUGCCAGUGUAGCUUUUUACCACUGGAUCAAGGUUUGUGUAUAUUACAUACACAAACAUGCAGUUAGGUGAUCUGACUAUUUGGAUUGCAACUGUUACAAAUCCACUUUAAAUACUCACAAGUUGCAUAGAUACUACAUGCUAGUAGUAUUGUUCUCCAGAUCUGUUUGCCUGUCACAGAAACAAGAGUACUCAAUAUAGUGAGGGAAAAAAAAAAUAUUUGUAUUUAAGCAUACAUGUCAGGCAACAAUUCACAGGCUUCACAUACAUAGUGCAAAGAGAUCAUAAGGAACUCUCUUCUCUUUUCUGACAAGUUGUGCACGAUUGGCCUGAGACUUGGAAGACUGAGUUUUUUAUUCUUUAAGUGGUGGCUGCAAUCUACCUCUCCACACCAAAUCAUCACCGGAUAUUGGCCACUGUUGGAAGAUGUGAUACUGGGCUAGAUGGACCUUUGGUCUGACCCAGUACGGCCAUUAUUAUGGAAAAGUAACUGGGAGUAUAUGUAGGUAUUUUAGUUGUCUUUAAUGUGGUAAAAGUUCAUUUGAAAAAUGUUAAUUGCUUGUCUACUUUUGCUCUUUCCCAUAUCUUCCAUUUAUCCCCUGCCCUUGCUUUCACUGCACAUGUUUCUUAGCUGGCUAAUUUUAUUCUCCUUAUUAAUCUCUAUACACUUCUCUGCAAUUUGGUUCCUUCCUUCCCUGCUUCUUGGUAGGGUCUCUAGAUGCUACUGUAAUACAGAAAAAUUGGUUCUAAUCACUAGAUAUACAUUAUCUGGAUUCCAGAGAAUUUGGACUAUGUGGAAUAAAAUUAAUGUUUUCCAUUCUUAUUUUUAUCAGUCCUAUUAUGCUUCCUAAGGUAAAGGGAAGGAAUAAUUGUCUGAUUAGGUCUUUCUUAAAGAAGUUUGAAAAACUUGAUACUUUUGUUGAAAAGAGGGUAUUUGGAUGUACAUGAUUAUUCCUAGAACUUUGUUUUACUGGAGUCCUGUAUUCUUAAUGGUGGGUGUCUUCUUAUUGUCAAUCUUAAUUUUACUUAUUUUGUAUCCAGAAAUUAAUGUGAAUGUGUGACAGGUAGAUUGCUGGGGACAUGUGUUUUAGUGAUGUAUAGUCAUGUUGGUGCUUAUAGACGUUUCUUAUAGCAGUGUUUCUCAAACUGGGGUCGGUGGACCCCUGGGGGUCCCCGAGGGUACUCCAGGGGGUCCGCGGGCCCCACUGAUCAACUCCUCCCCCUCUCUCCCAGCACCUUCUUCACGCUGGGGCAGCGCUGAUGCGGAGGAGCCGGGACCCUGGGUCCGCGCCGCUCCCAGAAGCGGCCAGCACGGGGCUGAGGGGAGCAGGGGGGUCUCCGCGCACAGUCCCUGGCCCGAGUGCUGACUUUGCAGCUCCCAUUGGCCAAAGUGCCUACGGGCAGGGGCACCGUGCGGAGACCCCCUGGCACCCCACCUAGGAGCCGCUGCCAGAGGGAUGUGGCAGUUGCUUUUAGGAGCCGCCCAAGGCAAGCACUGCACCCCUCACCUCCUUCCAUACCCCAGCCCAGCGCCCGCAUCCAAACUCCUUCUCGUACCCCUCAUCCCCUCCUGCACUCCACCCCUCUGCCCCAGCCCUGAGCCCCCUCUCGCACCCAAACUC